rnacentral:rRNA from 1 species
GUCUAUAGUCAUACUCCCCUGAAUGUGCCCAAUCUCUUCUGGUCUCAGAAGCCAAGCAGGGUUGGGCCUGAUUAGUACUUGGAUGGAAGACAGAUCUUCCGAAGAGACUGCUCAGAGACA